ensembl:antisense Gm37876 predicted gene, 37876
CAGUCCUUUCCCAUCCAUCCUACAAGCAGCAGUCUCGGGGUCUGGGGACUGCAUUGAGGAGCAGAACAGCAGCUACUUGACACACCUAUAAAACACAGCUGAUGAGACCCCUAACUUCAUACUUGAGGCCUGCUUCUGGGUGCCAGGUGACAUCAUCAUACAAAGAAGAAAGCAAGACCCCUUGUGCCUCGGCGUGAAAAGGCAAGAGCAAAUGGCAGUGGCUAAAGCUCCAGUCAGCUCCAGAGCUGCCCCUCCUGCCCACUUGUCAGCUCACACCAGGAUGACUUGGGGGUGGGGGCGCAUCAGUACAAAUAAGAUGAUCCUACACGUGCAUUCCCUUCAGAUCCUGCAGGCACCACCAGCCUCACUUAAAGAGCAGGGAAAGUCUUCUGGAAAGUACCAUGUUAUCCUUUGGAUGAAAACCUCCGACUGUUAAUGGAUGCUGACAGUCUGUACCUUUGCUCUCUCAGAGAGUAGGAGCUAGGAUCUACCAAAGCCCAGACCAUAAAGCACAACAGAUUCCCUUAAACCCUUUAAAGUCUUACUGCGUGAAAAUCGUCAUGGCUUUCAGUAACGCUGGGAGAAAAAUUUAUCUUGUUGGUAGUUUAAGAAGCUACACUUCAAACUUCUUAAAGAAAAAUGAAAGGAGAAAAAGGACAGAUGUCUAGGACUACUUUGAAAAGCUGGAGCAAGUACUUCAAAGGAAAGGGGUCUUUGUUUGAGAGCAGUUUUAUGUCUACUGAUGCAGAUCCUACCGAAAGCUGAAAGGGAGACUCAGUACAUCUUUCGGGAUGGCCUUAGGAGAAGAUGAACAAGUCAAAUGAGAUUAAAGACAGCCCAAAGCCUGCCACAGCUUCCAGGCAUGCCAGCGUUUACAGACGUGCCUUUCUCAGUAUGUAACGGGACACUGGAGGAAGCCUGUGCCCUCUAACAACCCAACUCGGUUUAACAGUGAGGCGCUCCGUAACCUGAGCCAAUGUGCAAGGCAGAACAGUUAGCCUGACACUGCUGGGAGAGUGGUAUAUGUCUGUAGUAGUAAAUGUGUUUCUUUCCCCCUUUAUAACAUAAAUAUCUUUAUCAAAUGGAGUCUGAACCUCUUAAAAUUUCAUAUCUAAAAGAGAAAAAGUAAUUCCUCUACUAUCUUAUUCAUAAGUAGGAGAUGAGAGAGAUAAUUUCCAAGAUUUACCUCCGUUAAGGCACAGGAGAUAAAUAAUCCAUGUAGAAAUACACUUUUCAGUUAUUUUUAAAAAGUGUAAUAUGUUCCUGCUAUCAGCAGCAUCACCAACCCAGGCUGUGAAAGUGAAGCCAUUUCAGAGUGACUGAGCAGCCCUUUGCAACACGUGUGCCACCUCAGCAGGCACACACCAUGCUUCUCUCUAACAGCAUCUAGCUGUUAGAGGAUGCUGGCUCUGCACCUUCCUGUGCUUAGUCUCAGAAAUGCAAAAGCACUUCUUCCCACAAAUUGCUUAAUGGAUGGCUCUGUGAUUGUAAUCAGCACACCCCGCUGCCCACUCUCUUCUUCCUUCACUCUGGCAUUGACUUAGUAGUUGUUACUGUGCACACUGGACAAUAAAGACAGGAAUUCAAUAUG